AAAUUGAAGAGUUUGAUCAUGGCUCAGAUUGAACGCUGGCGGCAGGCCUAACACAUGCAAGUCGAACGGUAACAGAAAGCAGCUUGCUGCUUUGCUGACGAGUGGCGGACGGGUGAGUAAUGUCUGGGAAACUGCCUGAUGGAGGGGGAUAACUACUGGAAACGGUGGCUAAUACCGCAUAACGUCG
rnacentral:rRNA from 1 species